UACGUAGGGUGCAAGCGUUGUCCGGAAUUAUUGGGCGUAAAGAGCUCGUAGGCGGUCUGUCGCGUCGGCUGUGAAAACCCGGGGCUCAACCCCGGGCCUGCAGUGGGUACGGGCAGACUAGAGUGAUGUAGGGGAGACUGGAAUUCCUGGUGUAGCGGUGAAAUGCGCAGAUAUCAGGAGGAACACCGAUGGCGAAGGCAGGUCUCUGGGCAUUAACUGACGCUGAGGAGCGAAAGCAUGGGGAGCGAACAGG
rnacentral:rRNA from 1 species